GAUUGCCCAUGUUCCAACCUUUCAUCCUUGAAACUUAAGUGGCAUGAACCACCAUCAUCAAUACAAUAUUGCCUUGAAAGUUCUCUAACAGCUAUGGCUGCUAGGCUUGCAUGUUUUCCAAACUCAGCCGUUGCUUGAGCAGCAGAGGUAGCAUCCUUAAAUUUUAUGUUCCAAUUCUACCUACCAACAGAACAAUUACCAUUACCAUCUCAAAGAAAUGAUUGCCCGUGUUCCAACCUUUCAUCCUUGAAAACUUAGUGGCAUGACCCACUAUCAUCAACACAAUAUUACCUUGAAAGUUCUACAACAGCUCUUGUAGCUAGGCCUGCAUGAUCUGCAAACUCAGUCGCUACUUGAGCAGAUUAGGUAGCAUCCUUAAAUUUCAUGUUCCAAUUCUACCUGCCAACAAAACAAUUACCAUUACCAUCUCCAGGAAGUGAUUGCCCAUGUUCCAACCUUUCAUCCUUGAAACCUAAGUGGCGAUGAACCACCAUCAUCAACAUACUAUUGCCUUGAAAGUUCGCCAACAGCUAUGGCUGCUAGGCUUGCAUGUUCUCCAAACUCAGCCGCUGCUUGAGCAGCAGAGGUAGCAUCCUUAAAUUUCAUGUUACAAUACUGCCUGCAAACAGAACAAUUACCAUUACCAUCUCAAGGAAAU
rnacentral:lncRNA from 1 species